AACGCUAUUUACCGAGGCUCAUUUACCCACGGCCUUAGAGCCUUCGAGCCUUCGGUAUUAGUGAAAUAAUUUACCGAGGGUUCUUGAGCCUCGGUAAUCUCCAUGAUCCUUUUAACUAAAAAACCCCACAUCACCAAAAUCUGAGAAUUCCCUCUAUCACCAAUUUGCCAAAGAUCAGAAGCUCUGUUCGUUGCGCUUGCCCUAAGGUGUUGUCGUCUUGUUGUGCUUGCCCUAAGGCGAAGUUCUGUUCGUUGGUGGCUGGUUUUUUGCAGUUUGCGUGAGUACGGUUGGUGGGUUUUCCGGCAGGGUUGUGGGUCGUACUACUUAGCGUUUGCGGUAGUGGUGGUGGGCAUCGAGGUUGGCUUGACGGCGACGUUUGGGUGAAGUGGGGUUGUUGAGUUCGUAGGGGUCGUGGUCUGCAGAGGUUGGCAUCGUCGAACCUUUUGCUUUCGAGUUUCCAGCUUAAAGACCUAGGUAGCAUUUUUAGGAAGAGGAGCUGAAACAGAAUCUGGGUUGAAUAGGGAACUUCCAGCCAGCUGCCAAUGACGCUUGAUGAUUAUGGUCCAUCAAUGACAGAAAUGAGCCAGCCAUUUGUGAGUGCAUCAUUUAAUCCAACUGGAGAGGAAGUAAGGAAGAAAGCACAUUCAAAGUCAGCAACCAAUGAAAAACAUAAAAAAGUUGUUGAUGAUGGUUUAGAUGCUGUUUUAGAGGAAGAAGAAGCUGAAAUUAAAGCACUUGAAGAAGAGUUGGUUGCAUUGAAGACUGAGUUGUUUGAGGAGAAAAAUAAAUAUUAUGGUGGUUACAGUACCCCAUGUAACCAAAUGAGAAUUGCAACAACUAUGGACGUGAGGGAGAAGAUUGCAGCAAUGAAACUGUUAUGAAGUAUUACAUGCGCCGAAAGCGAUUCAAAAGUGCAGUUUGUAAAACUUCGUACACCGGAUAUAGUCCCAAACUUUAAUCAUGGAGAGUUGUAUUACUGCAGUAAUUUGUAGAACUUUAAUUAUGGAUAUUUGUAUUUGAAACAAAGAUUUGGUUUGUUAAUUAAGAAAGUGGUUGUUAGCAAGUGCUCAUUUGAAUUGUUAUUGUAAUAUUCAUUCCAUUUGUUGAUUGGUAGUGUUGUUUAAUUUUCA